CCUUAUGGCUGAGCAAAGAGAGUGGUUUCUCGAGAUGGAAUCCACUCCUGGUGAAGGUGCUGUGAA
rnacentral:pre_miRNA from 1 species